rnacentral:rRNA from 1 species
UACAGAGGGUGCAAGCGUUAAUCGGAAUUAUUGGGCGUAAAGGGUUUGUAGGCGGUUAAUUAAGUUAGAUGUGAAAUACCUGAGCUUAACUUGGGAAUGGCAUUUAAUACUGGUUGACUAGAGUAUAGUAGAGGAAAGGGGAAUUUCCGGUGUAGCAGUGAAAUGCGUAGAUAUCGGAAGGAACAUCAGUGGCGAAGGCGCCUUUCUGGACUAAUACUGACGCUGAGGAACGAAGGCGUGGGGAGCAAACAGG